rnacentral:tRNA from 1 species
UAUAUAUUAGUGUAUGAUGCACAAAAAUUUUUGAUAUUUUUAGAAAUAGUUUAAAUCUAUUGUAUAUAA